UGCUAUCAGGCGUCGAGCGGCGGACGGGUGAGUAAUACUUAGGAAUCUACCUAGUAGUGGGGGAUAGCUCGGGGAAACUCGAAUUAAUACCGCAUACGACCUACGGGAGAAAGGGGGCAACUUGUUGCUCUCGCUAUUAGAUGAGCCUAAGUCGGAUUAGCUAGAUGGUGGGGUAAAGGCCUACCAUGGCGACGAUCUGUAGCUGGUCUGAGAGGAUGAUCAGCCACACCGGGACUGAGACACGGCCCGGACUCCUACGGGAGGCAGCAGUGGGGAAUAUUGGACAAUGGGGGAAACCCUGAUCCAGCCAUGCCGCGUGUGUGAAGAAGGCCUUUUGGUUGUAAAGCACUUUAAGCAGUGAAGAAGACUCCGUGGUUAAUACCCACGGACGAUGACAUUAGCUGCAGAAUAAGCACCGGCUAACUCUGUGCCAGCAGCCGCGGUAAUACAGAGGGUGCAAGCGUUAAUCGGAAUUACUGGGCGUAAAGCGAGCGUAGGUG
rnacentral:rRNA from 1 species